UACGUAGGGUGCUAGCGUUGCUCGGAAUCACUGGGCGUAAAGCGCACGUAGGCGGCUUUUUAAGUCAGAGGUGAAAUCCUGGAGCUCAACUCCAGAACUGCCUUUGAUACUGGAGAGCUUGAGUCCGGGAGAGGUGAGUGGAAUUGCGAGUGUAGAGGUGAAAUUCGUAGAUAUUCGCAAGAACACCAGUGGCGAAGGCGGCUCCCUGGACCGGUACUGACGCUGAGGUGCGAAAGCGUGGGGAGCAAACAGG
rnacentral:rRNA from 1 species